UUAAAGUUUGAUCCUUGCUUUUGUCUCUGUUAUAAGGAUGAUAUACAUGAAAGUUAAUGCGAGAGUUGUUUAAAUAAAAUAAAAUUUAUAAUUUUGUUCUCAGUAUGUGAUUUUGGGUUUAAGUUAAAACUUGAUUCAGCAAUCCUUAAAUUUCAGGCUAAAUUUGUGCCAGCAGCCGCGGUUAGACUAAGAGUGAAAAUAGAGAAUAAAAGUAUGUAGUUAAAAUUAAAGUUUUAUACGUUUAGGGGUAUAAGUCUAAGGGGUGAAAUCUAUAUUUAUAUAGUGGCUGUAUUGGUUUAAAACUUAUUUUAAAGCUAUCGAAGUUUAGGUGUAAACCAGGAUUAGAUACCCUGUUAUACUGAAAUGAAACCCAAUUUCGCUUGAGUAGUAAUAAGUUAUGAGCUCGAAACUUAAAGGAUUUGGCGGUAUUUAAGUCUGGUUAGAGGAACCUGCUCUGUAAACGAUACACCACGAAUUAUCUUACUUUAUUUUGUGUUCAAUUUGUAUACCUCCAUUACAAGAAAUGUUUUAAAACAUUUUUUAAAAUAGAAGUUUUCUAAAAUAUUAGGUCAAGGUGCAGUCUAUAAUAAAGUAGUUGUGGGUUACAUUAUAUUUUAUAUUGGUGGAUAUGUUAUAUGAAAUUAUACUUUGAAAUUGGAUUUAAUUGUAUUCUUAAAAUAAUAAGUUAAGAUGAUAAUAGCUCUAGAAUAUGUACACAUCGCCCGUCGCUCUCAUUAUAAAGUGAGAUAAGUCGUAACAUAGUGGUUGUAUUGGAAAAUGCAUCUGGAAGUA
rnacentral:ncRNA from 1 species